GGCAUGUACUUGUUAAGCCUUUAUAAGAAAAAAGUUAAUAACUUAAGGAAUGAUAACAAAGAAGUGACACAUAGAAGGACCUGCGUCCAUUUAUAGUGUGUAUCAAUCGAGUUUCUGACCUAUCAGCUUUUGAUGUUAGGGUAUUGGCCUAACAUUGCUAUGACGGGUAACGGGGAAUUAGAGUUCGAUUCCGGAGAGGGAGCCUGAGAAAUAGCUACCACAUCUAAGGAAGGCAGCAGGCGCGUAAAUUACCCAAUUCUAAAGAAGAGAGGUAGUGACAAGAAAUAACAAUACAAGGCCAAUCUGGCUUUGUAAUUGGAAUGAUGGGAAUUUAAAUCCUUCCCAUAAUACAAUUGGAGGGCAAGUCUGGUGCCAGCAGCCGCGGUAAUUCCAGCUCCAAUAGCGUAUAUUAAAAUUGUUGCAGUUAAAACGCUCGUAGUUGAAUUUCAAAGAACCAAUAUUUUAAUAACGCCGUUAGCUAGAUCCACAAGGGGUUGAGCCAAUCACGGCUUCGGCUUGGAAGUCCCUCAUAC
rnacentral:rRNA from 1 species